CUUCUUCAGCUGCCUUCUGAUACCUUUGAGAAAGAGGAUGGAGAAAAAAAAACCACAGUUUUUAACUAGGACACGGAAUGCUCAUGAAGACAGCUGAAAUUUCAUUUCCACCUAGGAUUCUGUGCACUUACCAGACCUAUCAAAUAAAACCAAAGGCUGGAAAAAUAGUAGCAAAUAGUAUCUGAACAAUGCACAGUGGUAGACACAUUUUACAUUCAGCUCACAAUAACAACAUGCCUUGAUAAUUUUCAUUAGCUAAGCACUCUCAUUCUCAAAUAUAGACAGUUUACCUUGGAAUAGCUGUAUUGUUUCUCCCACCCAGCUGUCUGCUGUGCCCCUUUGCGGGAAUAACUCAGCUAUUUAUACAGCAGCUGCUGAACCGUAACAAAUUACAGCUUGGCAUACGCAGAGAAUCUACAUAAGUGCCAGUUUAUCUUACUAUGCUGGGUUGUAAACUGCACCAAUUCAGCAGUUGCUUCAGGAGCAGCUGAACUAUCCCAGCAGUGGAAACAGCAAUCACAGUCCUCUGAAGAUAAGCCUCCCUGGAUCAUGAAUCAAAGUCCUUUAAGAAGCUCUAGAAAACUCCCAGCAAUCUGCACGCUACACACAGCAAUCUGCGCUGCACUCCACAGCUAGGAGCACACAGACCACACUGAUCAGCCCAAGCUUCCAUAAUUUGGAUGAGACAUGCUGAGAAAGUAAGUUUAUGGUGGAAGAGAGAUCAAUAUUGGAAGAAUCAACAGAGACAUGGCGAUGAAAGUCCAGUACCACAGUGGAAAACAUAAACAAGGAUUGAAGAGUUCCAGGCAGCGCUCACGCCACAGGUGCAUUAAGACAAUUAGGACCGUUUUGGCAAAACCUCUU